CAAGUAAAGGAAUCUCAGUACCUUAUACCAAUCUACAGUUGAACCCUUACCCCAUUACCUAAUUGAACUUGUUCUCUAGUGACGAUCUCUCCUUUUCAAUGCACAGCUCCCAAUAUGUGACCAACCAAUAGAUGCGCGGAUCCUAGUACGUGACUUCAUCACCAACUUGAGAAAGAUGUUAACUACAAAGUUCUUCAAUUCAUCACACGAUGAAGAUCAAGAAAGCUCCUUGGUCACAAAUCCCUAAGGCGUACAAACAUAGCAGCUUUUUCAAUAGAAAGAUGAACUAGGGCAAAUUCUGUCUUCAGUCACAAUUUGCAUGAAAAAAACUUUGCUUCACACUGGUGCAACUAUGCAACCUUUGACAGCCCUUAAAAUAAUCCUUAUAUAUGUUUAGGAUUGUGAGAAAAGAAGGCUUAAACACAAACUCGUGGAUUGGAGUGAAAUCAGCUCUGAAAAAUUGAAUUUCAUAAACCUCAAUAGAUAGCCAUCUAUCGAGCUAGCUGUUGAGCCACGAGCUAAAACAGCUUUUAAACUUCAAUAGAUGCUAGCUGUUGAGCUAUAAAAUCUAGCACUUUCUCACUUGUUUCUUGGACAAACUUGUAUGAUUUUAACACUUGAACUUGAAACCUUGUUCCUUGAAGUACUAAACACGUCCUAGAUCUACCUAAUUACAAGUAAAGUGCGCUUUGUCAAAGGAUUAGCCAAAUACAUAAAAUAUUGACAUGUGUUCCUAACAUGAUUCACAUAUGUCCUAACAGUUAUGUACUGCUCCUAUUGAUUAAGGGAUAAUUCAUUUUAAAUGUUUGUAGGGAACAUUGAUACAUGCAAGCAUCAGAAAGAAUCUUGCUCAAAGUUAUCGUCCAUAACUAAAUGAAGGGAGCAUAUAUACAAUUACAAAUUUUUUAGUUGAAGAAAAUAAAGGGAACUAUCGUUCAGUACAUAACAGACUCAAAAUACUUUUCAAUUCAACAACUUCAGUCUCAAAAUUCAGCAGAUUUGAUCAUCCAAUACCUCAGUCUCAAUUUGAAUUUGUUGAUUAUGGAACAAUAGCUUUCCGUUGCUAUGAAACUUCUUACUUAACUGAUGUGAUUGGCAUAUUGGACUACAUUGGAACCAUUGAGGAGAUCAAAACAAGAGGGUGUCCAACAAAGCUUAGAAAUAUUCAACUAUUGUUAGAAGAGUGACUAUCAAUUAUCAUCCAGUUUUGCAACAAAGUUGUAUGUCAAUUUAGACAUUCUAGAAGUUGCAGAAAUUAGAAACAAAUUGAACACCACAAUGGACAAAAACAUAAAAGAAAUACUGCCAAAGGGACUACCUAAAGUACAAGAUGGAGAACUUGCCUUACGUAAUUAAAAAAAAAAAAAAAAAAAGUUUCUGAAAUAAAGGACUUGGAAUGGAACUCAGAGACAAAGGACUUGCUGGUAACAUGCAAUGCCAAAAUCAUUAAUAUCAACAACAAAUAUGGAUGGUAUUAUGUCGCAUGACUUAUAUGCAAGACGAAAGUGAAACAAUUCAAAGGAGUUCCAUGGUGUGAACGUUGUAAAAAUGACCUAAAGUUUGCAGUCCCAAGCUAUAGAAUACAAGUGCAAGUACAAGAUGAGACGGGUCAACCACAUUCAUAUUGUUUGACAAAGGAGCUGAGAAAAUUAUAUCUAAAACUGCAAAAGAACUUGCAAAGAUGCAAGAAGAGGACACAAUGGAGGAAAUUGUAAGAAAAUCAAGGAAGGACAAGUACAUAGCCAGCCAAAAAACAGAAAUAGGAGAAACAUCUGUUGAAAGACCUGAAUUAACUGCUCCUAUAACUACUGAAGAUGGAAGAACUGGUCAUAAAAGAAUGCCACUCCAAAUGCUUCAAAAACGUCAAAAGAGUACUAAGAAAAUUGCAUCAAAGAAGAAAAAAAUCUGAACUCUAAUGUAUAUACUACCUUACUCUAUGAGUCUUUAUGUAUUUCAUUGUAUUGUUAAAUUUUUUUUUUAUUUUUUUAUUUCUUUAGAAGAGUAAACUGAUGUACUGUUAAGUUACUACUACUACCAUAUUUCCUUUAUGAAAUAUCAUAUUAAAUCUCCAAUAUACAUAUGUUUUUGUUUUAAA